AAGAAACCAACAGGGAUUGCCCCAGUAGCGGCGAGUGAAGCGGCAAGAGCUCAGAUUUGAAAUCGUGUUUCGGCACGAGUUGUAGAGUGUAGGCGGGAGUCUCUGUGGAGCGCGGUGUCCAAGUCCCUUGGAACAGGGUGCCUGAGAGGGUGAGAGCCCCGUAGGGUGCUGCGCGAAGCUUUUGAGGCCCUGCUGACGAGUCGAGUUGUUUGGGAAUGCAGCUCCAAGCGGGUGGUAAAUUCCAUCUAAGGCUAAAUAUUGGCGAGAGACCGAUAGCGAACAAGUACUGUGAAGGAAAGAUGAAAAGCACUUUGAAAAGAGAGUGAAACAGCACGUGAAAUUGUUGAAAGGGAAGGGUAUUGGGCUCGACAUGGGGGGUGCGCACCGCUGUCUCUUGUAGGCGGCGCUCUGGGCGCCCUCUGGGCCAGCAUCGGUUCCUGCUGCGGGAGAAGGGGCUCCGGAAAGUGGCUCUUCGGAGUGUUAUAGCCGGGGCCAGAUGCCGCGUGUGGGGACCGAGGACUGCGGCUUCUGUCUCGGAUGCUGGCAUAACGGCGCAAUACCGCCCGUCUUGAAACACGGACC
rnacentral:rRNA from 2 species